UACAGAGGUCCCAAGCGUUGUUCAGAUUCAUUGGGCGUAAAGGGUGCGUAGGCGGCGCGGUAAGUCGGGUGUGAAAUCUCGGGGCUUAACCCCGAAACUGCAUUCGAUACUGCCGUGCUUGAGGACUGGAGAGGAGACUGGAAUUUACGGUGUAGCGGUGAAAUGCGUAGAUAUCGUAAGGAAGACCAGUGGCGAAGGCGGGUCUCUGGACAGUUCCUGACGCUGAGGCACGAAGGUCAGGGGAGCAAACGGG
rnacentral:rRNA from 1 species